ACGACCUACACCAUGAUCAGUUGUUAUAUCAACAAAAUAAUUUUCUUUCAUAGUUCAAUUUUUUAAUCACACUGAGACUCGGACUAUAAUUUAUAUUUUAAAUUUUAAAACAAAUUUUGGUCCGGCAGUGAUUUUCAACAGCAAGAAUUCUCGCAAUUUUAUUGCUUGAGAACUAUUAAUAAAUAAUAGAGGCCACUUCGAUAGUAAUAAUAACAACCCUUUAUUUUGCAACUAAAAAAUAAAUUAACUUCAAAGCAACAUUUUUAUCUUUGUGUUGGUGAGUUGCUAAACAGCAGUGUAGUUGAAUUGGGCAAUGUUGAUGGCGUCACAGAGUCGAAUGACAGUGACAGGGUAGCUGUAGCUCAGGUAAAAAAUUAGUCGUCUCCGCAGUUGGAUGAAAGUAUAAUAUUAUAUAAUAUGCGUUGAAUCAGGUGCGUACAUUUUUCAGGUGAUCUACUGUGCGAUCGUUUUGUGCGCGCCUUCGUGACUCUACGAUGUUUUGCUGAAGUCGAUUUAUUUAAUUUCUAUAAACUCCGUUUCGUCUUUUUUAAAUUUCUUUUUAAUUGGGCUGAAAUCACAAUCAGAGGUCGAUCGUGUAUGUCUCAUAUCUAUCUCAAGUCGCAAGUAGAGGUCUUACUGUUAGCUGCGUAAUUUUAUAAAAUAUUUCAUCAGGUGGAAUCUGCGUUUUAUCGAGUCAGAGUUCAAAGGGCCGCAACCAUACCAGCCUGAGCCGCCAGAUGGAACGUCGAUCGUGCCACCCAACUUCAAUGAUGAAAAUAGAGAGGAACGGUCGAGAUAUUUUGAUAUAGCCAAGUGUGAUUUUUUGGUUGACUUGAACACUUCUCGUUUGACAAAAUUAGAGCCGAUUUACGCCGAUGACAAGGCAAAAUGGGAUUUAAUUAUCUCAAUACCGUAUCUUGAUAAUGAAAGAUCUCCGAAACUUCUCCGAGCUUUCUACAUUCCUUAUUUGACGGAAGAAUCGUGCACAUAUGCGUCGUGCCAGUUGCUCAAAAAAAGAGGGAAACCCCAAACCAGAUGGAGAGCUAAAUCGUGAUAUUUUUUCUAGGUGACUUGGAACAGGAAGCAAAAUAAUUAAUUGUUUCCCAAAAUUGCUUAUAAUUAAGCUGCCUUAUUGUUGCUUUCAGUUGUUACGAUAUUGAUUUUAAAAAUUUCCUCGUUUAACACAUUAAAUUAAAAACAGCAAAAUAUAAGCACAA